GGCGGCACGCCUAAUACAUGCAAGUCGAACGAGAAAGCACUUCGGUGUGAGUACAGUGGCGGACGGGUGAGUAACGCGUAGGAAUCUACCUAGUAGUGGGGGACAACUCGAGGAAACUCGAGCUAAUACCGCAUACGCUCUUAGGAGGAAAGUGGGGGAUCUUCGGACCUCACGCUAUUAGAGGAGCCUGCGUUAGAUUAGCUUGUUGGUGAGGUAAAGGCUCACCAAGGCGACGAUCUAUAGCUGGUCUGAGAGGACGAUCAGCCACACUGGAACUGAGACACGGUCCAGACUCCUACGGGAGGCAGCAGUAGGGAAUCUUGGGCAAUGGGCGAAAGCCUGACCCAGCGAUGCCGCGUGUGCGAAGAAGGCCUUAGGGUUGUAAAGCACUUUCAGUCGUGAAGAAAAGCUACGAUUUAAUAUGUCGUGGUCUUGACGUUAGCGACAGAAGAAGUACCGGCUAACUCCGUGCCAGCAGCCGCGGUAAUACGGAGGGUACGAACGUUAAUCGGAAUUACUGGGCGUAAAGCGCGCGUAGGCGGUUUGAUAAGUGGGAUGUGAAAGCCCCGGGCUCAACCUGGGAACUGCAUUCCAAACUGUCAAACUAGAGUGUGGUAGAGGGCGGUAGAAUUUCCUGUGUAGCGGUGAAAUGCGUAGAUAUAGGAAGGAAUACCGAUGGCGAAGGCAGCCGCCUGGACCAACACUGA
rnacentral:rRNA from 1 species